rnacentral:lncRNA from 1 species
CACUGCUGUGGAGGGAUUUUGCCGAUGUAAUUAAGGGAAAGGAUCUUCAAAUAGGGAGACUAGCCUGGAUUAUACAGGUGGGUCCAAUCUAAUCACUUGAGCAUUGAGAAGCCGAGAAUUAUCUUCAGCUGGAUUCAAAGAGAUGUGGUGGAGGAGGACAGCAGGAUGAGGAGGCCAAAGGGGUAGUUAAAGAGAUGUGAAUCAAGAGAAGGGCUGGACCUCCCCCGAUAGCUUUGAAUGUGAAGGGAGGGGGCCUUCAGAAGCUGAGAAAGACUCCAGCUGACAACCCAAAAGGAAUUGGGGCUUCAGUUCUGCAACCACAUGGAACUGAAUUCAACCAACAACUUGAACGACUUUGGAAGCAGUCGUUUUUCCUAGAGUCUACUGCUAAGAACCCAGUGGCAACACCUUGAUUUCAGGCUUGUGAGACCUGGAGCAAUGAAGCCCACUGGACUGGUGAUCUACAGAAAAAGAUUGCUCUGGCUGCGGUGUCUCCACACUGUUGGGGAUCAAAACAAGAGGAAGACCAGUUAGGAGUCUAUCGCAGGAAUCCAGGGAACCACGAAAGUGAAGCUGUGAAAACCCUGAAUGCUGAAGAGUGUGGAGAAUCCCAGACGAUGAAGAACCAGAGAAUCUCGAAGCUCUGUCUACCUACACCUCUGACUCAUGUAUGUGCAGAACAGACUCAGAUUAAAAACACAACGUUGAGGUGAGCCUGGAACUGUUGCCCAAGGAACAGGGUUUGAAGUUCAGGUCUAGCUAGACUAAUUAGCUGUUGAAGGAAACAACACUCACUGGAGAAAACUGGCAGAAUUCUGAAUCUUCACCAAUUAACAUUAGUAACGUUGAAGAUAUGA